rnacentral:lncRNA from 1 species
CUCUUUAGUCCAGGUUCUGUGGUGGUUCUCUUUAGUCCAGGUUCUGUGGUGAUUCUCUUCAGUCCAUGUUCUGUGGUGGUUCUCUUCAGUCCAUGUUCUGUGAUGGUUCUCUUUAGUCCAGGUUCUGUGGUGGUUCUCUUCAGUCCAGGUUCUGUGAUGGUUCUCAUCAGUCCAAGUUCUGUGGUGGUUCUCUUCAGUCCAGGUUCUGUGGUGGUUGUCUUCAGUCCAGGUUCUGUGGUGGUUGUCUUCAGUCCAGGUUCUGUGGUGGUUCUAUCAGUCCAGGUUCUGUGGUGGUUGUCUUCAGUCCAGGUUCUGUGGUGGUUUUCUCCCCUGGAG